AUAGUAUAUAUAUUCCUUGUACAAAAUUAAUUGUCAUAAACGAGGUUACUUUUAUUACUUCAACACUACAGUGCCAUUUAACCUAAUUAACAAUGAGCGUAAAGAUAAACAUAUGGAAAGAAGGGGGAGGAAAUGUAGGUCAUGGAUCGAUGACCCUAGAGGAUGGAACCCAUAUCAGCUGGUGGCCAAAGGAAGACAAGGCGAAAUCUGCCAACCAAAGUUUGAAAUCAGUGGAAGCAGAACCAGCAAGUUCGUAUGAACAGGAUGUUGAAUGGGAAGGAAAACCAGCUGAUUUUAUACACGAAAUUCCUUCCGAAAAACUUGAUGUGGCAGCUAUUGGAACUUGGUGGAAUGAGUUCAAAACAACCAACAAGUAUCAUUUGGUUUUUAAGAAUUGCUGCAGUGCCGUAUACAGCGCUUUGCAUGAAGGUGGAGCUAAAAAUAUAGCAUCGUUUCCGAUGUCUCCUAUUUCAACACCAGAAAACCUGAAUGAAUAUGCUGAGCAACUAGAAAAAGCUACAAAAUAACAAACAUUAAAUCCAAGGACAAUGAAUACCGCUGAUUUUUUUUUAUAUAACAAAAAAUCAGCAUAUGACAUCGUUUUAUCAUAAGAGUGUUUCUUGUACUCUUGCGUAACUCCGCUUAAAAGUGGUAAAAAUUGAUGGAUUAAAUCAACAAAACGACAUGAUUAAUUAUCAAAUAAAAAACAGUUGACAAUGUU